GGGGAAUUUUGGACAAUGGGCGCAAGCCUGAUCCAGCAAUGCCGCGUGCAGGAAGAAGGCCUUCGGGUUGUAAACUGCUUUUGUACGGAACGAAACGGUCCUGGUUAAUACCUGGGGCUAAUGACGGUACCGUAAGAAUAAGCACCGGCUAACUACGUGCCAGCAGCCGCGGUAAUACGUAGGGUGCGAGCGUUAAUCGGAAUUACUGGGCGUAAAGCGUGCGCAGGCGGUGAUGUAAGACAGAUGUGAAAUCCCCGGGCUCAACCUGGGAACUGCAUUUGUGACUGCAUCGCUGGAGUGCGGCAGAGGGGGAUGGAAUUCCGCGUGUAGCAGUGAAAUGCGUAGAUAUGCGGAGGAACACCGAUGGCGAAGGCAGCCCCCUGGGUCGAUACUGACGCUCAUGCACGAAAGCGUGGGGAGCAAACA
rnacentral:rRNA from 1 species